AGGAAGGGGCUCGCAGGCGCCCCGCACGCGUCUCGUCACUAUUGUUUAAUCGAGAAUCAGCAACGCCUCCCGCCGGUUUCCACCCUACGCCGGAAUGGACUUUCAGAACCCACUGCGGCCGCAAGACAGCCCGCAAGAGCUGGUCAAAAUGCCCUCAGCUCGGUUGAAGGUGAUUGAUGACUAUCUGGAGACCACAGUACACAUCAUAUAAUAUCUGCUGCGUAAUUGCUUUAAUUUACAGAUGAAAAUACGAGUUCUCCGAUCGCGUUGGACCGGAGCGGGCCACGUCCGAGCUGCUUGCAGAGGGAAACCAUCGGAAAUAAUGAAUAGCCGCUCCAUGCAAAUUAUUCAGACAGUUUAGCGUCGGUAGCCGCGAGAAAUAUAUAAAGAACACGAGUCAAAUGACA
rnacentral:lncRNA from 1 species